rnacentral:lncRNA from 1 species
UCAGCAAGGUCUAGAGGCCAAGGAGGAGGCAGAGGCCAUAGCUGCGGGGCUGCAGCAAGCAGAGUCUUUUCCUGCCCCACAGGCAGUCUGAGGCGGCCAGACACCAUCCUGGGGAGGAUCCUGAGGGGGAGAUAUGGCCCUUUCUCUGGGGGCCAUUUGGAGGACUUGGGCCAAUCCUGAGCGAGCUUCCCUCAUUGGGGAGACACUGUGUGUCAGAAAGGCAGCUGUCGACCCUCUGAAGACACCUGGGCUAUGGGGGUUGUGGUCAGGGAGAAAGCUGUUUGCCCACCUGUAGAUGGGGAGUCCCACCUUGAAGGGGAGGCAUGGCCCUUUCUUGGGGAACAUAGGCCUGAGGGACAGAUGGGGCUUCAUCUUGAUGUAAGCGGAAGCCUGGG